rnacentral:rRNA from 1 species
AAAACUUUCAACAACGGAUCUCUUGGCUCUGGCAUCGAUGAAGAACGCAGCGAAAUGCGAUAAGUAAUGUGAAUUGCAGAAUUCAGUGAAUCAUCGAAUCUUUGAACGCACAUUGCGCCCGCCAGUAUUCUGGCGGGCAUGCCUGUUCGAGCGUCAUUU